CCCUUAGAUGUUCUGGGCGGCCCGCGCACUACAAUGGCGUGUGCAGCGAGUGCCGAAGUAGCGUUUUCCGAGGUAUUCUUGCAAUGCUCGUUUUGAUGGGGAUAGACCCUUGCAACUGUUGGUUUUGAACGAGGAAUUCCUUGUAAGCAUGGUUUAUCAUCCGACGCUGAAUGCGUCCCUGCCCUUUGUACACACCGCCCGUCGCUCCUACCGAUGAGUCGUCCGGUGAAGUUCGUAGACCUCGUGAUCGCGGAUCACUGGGGGAAGCAAAAUGAACCUCGCGGUUUAGAGGAAGGAGAAGUCGUAACA
rnacentral:rRNA from 1 species